AACAAGGAUUCCCCUAGUAACGGCGAGUGAAGCGGGAAGAGCUCAAAUUUGAAAUCUGGUAGCCUUCGGUUGCCCGAGUUGUAAUCUAGAGAAGUGUUUUCCGCGUUGGCCCAUGUACAAGUCCCUUGGAACAGGGCGUCAUAGAGGGUGAGAAUCCCGUCCUUGACAUGGACCCCCAAUGCUUUGUGAUACACUUUCAACGAGUCGAGUUGUUUGGGAAUGCAGCUCAAAAUGGGUGGUGAAUUCCAUCUAAAGCUAAAUAUUGGCGAGAGACCGAUAGCGAACAAGUACCGUGAGGGAAAGAUGAAAAGCACUUUGGAAAGAGAGUUAAACAGUACGUGAAAUUGUUGAAAGGGAAACGAUUGAAGUCAGUCAUGCUCUUUGGAUUAAGCCGUUCUGCGGUGUAUUUCAUUGAGCGGGGUCAACAUCAGUUUUGAUCGCUGGAAAAGGGCAGGAGGAAGGUAGCACUCUCGGGUGAACUUAUAGCCUCUUGUCGUAUACAGUGAUUGGGACUGAGGAACGCAGCAUGCCUUUUGGCCGGGAUUCGUCCACGUACAUGCUUAGGAUGUUGA
rnacentral:rRNA from 1 species